AAGGGCUGAAAGUUUCUGCAUGAUUCACCCACCAGAAACAAUUUUCUAGCUGAAAUGAAUGUCAACAAUUCUCUGUGGAAGCUAAUAUCACCAGCCUGCAAAUGGGAAAUGAAGGUUUUCUUCUGGAUACCCCAGAUCUUUGAUGAUGCCAGUGAGGAAACAUCCACACCCUUUGGUUAGACGGUGAAGCAUGAGGCUGUGGUUAUUUUCAUCAUUUACUCCAUGGAAGGUUGAAAGCUGUUAAGCAGAAUCAAUCUUAGGACAGAGAACGGUGGAACUCCGGAAGGUGCAACCUUACCAGCAUCUUGGUGGAUGCUUCCCGAUUGUAGCAUCCUUUUCAUCUUCAACUUAUAUUCCAAGCUGUUACCUAGAAUAAAUCCCACCAUUUCUAGCUAAUGCACGGUCUUUGUUUUGAAUGGAAAAGAGGGAAAAUAUAUUGAUCCCCUCUGGCAGCACAGGAGAUACGCCUAAAAUGGAAUAUCUUUCACCAUCAUGAAUAACAUUAAUCUUUACAGUUCUCCAAAGUAAAUAAUUACUGUAUAGUUGGCUUCCUAUUUAUAUGAAUUGACAGCAUCCUUUGAGUCUCCAGGUGACAGAAAUUCUCUCCAGAAACCAUUCUUAAGAUUAUUGUCAAAUUCCUUAAUGAGGAAUUAGAAGCUAAAGUGGCUAGCCUCUAGGUACAACCGGUUGGCAACAUGCUGAUCUUCUCCCUUCUGGAUUCUUCAGAGAGGGUUGAUGGAUAAAGCUCUGAAGAGCUGUUGAGCAUGCCAAGUCUUCUGGUGUGAGGGCAGCCACCAUGCCCCAGUCUAUGCUGAGCCUGUCUUGUGUAUUUCCAAGUACUCAGGUGGUUGGGGAACACAACAUUUCAGAUGAGGAAAUGACUUUGGUGAGCAUCACCUCAAGUAGCCACACUAUGUCCUUCUUUCAUUGAUC
rnacentral:lncRNA from 1 species